CCUACGGGGUGCAGCAGUGAGGAAUAUUGGUCAAUGGGCGCGCGCCUGAACCAGCCCAGUAGCGUGAAGGAUGACUGCCCUACGGGUUGUAAACUUCUUUUAUAAAGAAAUAAAGUGAGGCACGUGUGCCUUUUUGUAUGUCCUUUAUGACUAAGGAUCGGCUAACUCCGUGCCAGCCGCCGCCGUAAUACGUAGGAUCCGAGCGUUAUCCGGAUUUCUUGGUUUUAAAGGGAGCGUAGAUGGGUUGUUAAGUCAGUUGUGAAAGUUUGCGGCUCAACCGUAAAAUUGCAAUUGAUACUGGCAGUCGUGAGUACAGUUGAGGUAGGUGGAAUUCGUGGUGUAGCGGUGAAAUGCUUAGAUAUCACGAAGAACUCCGAUUGCGAAGGCAGCUUACUAAACUGCCACUGACAUUGAUGCUCGAAAGUGUGGGUAUCAAACAGGAUUAGAUACCCCAGUAGUC
rnacentral:rRNA from 1 species